rnacentral:misc_RNA from 1 species
AAGUCGUAACAAGGUUUCCGUAGGUGAACCUGCGGAAGGAUCAUUAACACGUAUCCAACGUAAAAAACCCCCCUGUGAACAUUCAAACCUGCUCUCGUAGCCCAGUGCGAUCCAGCAAUCCCGGUAAAUCAUUGUCGAACAGUAUUGAUUCGGGACUUCUGACAAAUGAGAAGUUACAGUUACGAUUGAGCGGCUAGUUUCCCGCGACUCACAGAGGUAAUGGGUUGUAAAGGGGCGUGGGGACCCGGUUGCAUGUCUGCCGGUCGGUGAGCGACCUCUGGCAAUCGUUGAGGCGAGAUCCUUAGACAAUCAAUGACACUUUCAGACACUGACUGCUUCGGGAUGCCAUGCAGCUAUCUCGGCUAAAAAACCUCGAACAACUGUUAACAAUGGAUAUCUUGGUUCUC